CCUACGGGCGGCAGCAGUGGGGAAUAUUGGACAAUGGGCGAAAGCCUGAUCCAGCCAUGCCGCGUGUGUGAAGAAGGCCUUCGGGUUGUAAAGCACUUUCAGUGGGGAAGAAAGCCUUGGGGCUAAUACCCUCGAGGAAGGACAUCACCCACAGAAGAAGCACCGGCUAACUCCGUGCCAGCAGCCGCGGUAAUACGGAGGGUGCGAGCGUUAAUCGGAAUUACUGGGCGUAAAGCGCGCGUAGGCGGUCUGAUAAGCCGGUUGUGAAAGCCCCGGGCUCAACCUGGGAACGGCAUCCGGAACUGUCAGGCUAGAGUGCAGGAGAGGAAGGUAGAAUUCCCGGUGUAGCGGUGAAAUGCGUAGAGAUCGGAAGGAAUACCAGUGGCGAAGGCGGCCUUCUGGACUGACACUGACGCUGAGGUGCGAAAGCGUGGGUAGCAAACAGGAUUAGAUACCCUAGUAGUC
rnacentral:rRNA from 1 species